UACGUAGGGUGCGAGCGUUGUCCGGAAUUAUUGGGCGUAAAGGGCUCGUAGGCGGUUUUGUCGCGUCGGGAGUGAAAACCCAGGGCUUAACUCUGGGCUUGCUUUUCGAUACGGGCAGACUAGAGGUAUGCAGGGGAGAACGGAAUUCCUGGUGUAGCGGUGAAAUGCGCAGAUAUCAGGAGGACACCGGUGGCGAAGGCGGAUU
rnacentral:rRNA from 1 species